rnacentral:rRNA from 1 species
UACGAAGGGGGCUAGCGUUGCUCGGAAUCACUGGGCGUAAAGCGCACGUAGGCGGAUCUUUAAGUCAGGGGUGAAAUCCUGGAGCUCAACUCCAGAACUGCCUUUGAUACUGGGGAUCUCGAGUCCGGAAGAGGUGAGUGGGACUCCGAGUGUAGAGGUGAAAUUCGUAGAUAUUCGGAAGAACACCAGUGGCGAAGGCGGCACUCUGGGCUGGUACUGACGCUGAGGAGCGAAAGCGUGGGUAGCGAACAGG